UACAGAGGCCUCAAGCGUUGUUCGGAUUCAUUGGGCGUAAAGGGUGCGUAGGCGGCGCGGUAAGUCGGGUGUGAAAUCUUGGAGCUUAACUCCGAAACUGCAUUCGAUACUGCCGUGCUUGAGGACUCGAGAGGGACACGGAAUUCCGGGUGGAGUGGUGAAAUGCGUAGAGAUCCGGAGGAACACCGAAGGCGAAGGCAGUGUCCUGGCGAGUGACUGACGCUGAGGUGCGAAAGCCAGGGGAGCGAACGGG
rnacentral:rRNA from 1 species